AGUAGUCAUAUGCUUGUCUCAAAGAUUAAGCCAUGCAUGUCUCAGUGCAAGCCGUCCUGUACGGUGAAACCGCGAAAGGCUCAUUAAAUCAGUUAUGGUUCCUUAGAUAGUACCCACGUUACUUGGAUAACUGUGGUAAUUCUAGAGCUAAUACAUGCCGACAGAGUUCCGACCAGCGUCGCGGCGGCUUGCCGUUCGCGACGUUCGGAAGGAGCGCUUUUAUUAGAUCAAAAUCGGCCAAGCGCAACGUUCGCGUAGCGUUAGUGGCCCGCGCAAAGACUUGACGACUCUGAAUAACUUCGAGCUGAUCGCACGGUCUCGCACCGGCGACGUAUCUUUCAAAUGUCUGCCUUAUCAACUGUCGACGGUACGUUCGAUGCUUACCGUGGUGGUAACGGGUAACGGGGAAUCAGGGUUCGAUUCCGGAGAGGGAGCCUGAGAAACGGCUACCACAUCCAAGGAAGGCAGCAGGCGCGCAAAUUACCCACUCCCAGCUCGGGGAGGUAGUGACGAAAAAUAACGAUACGGGACUCAUCCGAGGCCCCGUAAUCGGAAUG
rnacentral:rRNA from 1 species